rnacentral:rRNA from 1 species
GUAUAAAUAGUAUACAGUGAAACUGCGAAUGGCUCAUUAAAACAGUUAUAGUUUAUUUGAUAAUUGAAUGCUACAUGGAUAACCGUGGUAAUUCUAGAGCUAAUACAUGCUAUAAAACCUGACUUUUUGAAAGGUUGUAUUUAUUAGAUACCAAACCAAUAUUCCUUCGGGUCUAUUGUGAUGAUUCAUAAUAACUGAUCGGAGCGAAUUCUAUUCGCUAAAUCAUUCAAGUUUCUGCCCUAUCAGCUUUCGAUGGUAGUGUAUUGGACUACCAUGGCAGUCACGGGUAACGGGGAAUUAGGGUUCGAUUCCGGAGAGGGAGCCUGAGAAACGGCUACCACUUCUAAGGAAGGCAGCAGGCGCGUAAAUUACCCAAUCCUGACUCAGGGAGGUAGUGACAAGAAAUAACGAAUCGGGGCCUCACGGCUUACGAUAUUGCAAUGAGAACAAUUUAAAACACUUAACGAGGAACAAUUGGAGGGCAAGUCUGGUGCCAGCAGCCGCGGUAAUUCCAGCUCCAAUAGCGUAUAUUAAAGUUGUUGCAGUUAAAAAGCUCGUAGUUGAACUUCUGGCGGUCGUUUUCGCUGGCUUCGGUCGCGUUGAUGGCUGUCAUCCGCUUGGGAACCUCGUUCGGUCUUCAUUGGUCGGCGGGAGGAUCAGGCAUUUUACUUUGAAAAAAUUAGAGUGUUCAAGGCAGGCAAUCGCCAUGAAUACACAAGCAUGGAAUAAUGGAAUAGGACUCUCAGUCAUUUUAUUGGUUAUUGACUGGUAGUAAUGAUUAAUAGNGACAGUUGGGGGCAUUCGUAUUUAAUUGUC